rnacentral:rRNA from 1 species
GAUGAACGCUGGCUACAGGCUUAACACAUGCAAGUCGAGGGGAAACGCCGGGGAAGCUUGCUUCCCCGGGCGUCGACCGGCGCACGGGUGAGUAACGCGUAUCCAACCUGCCUCUGACUGAGGGAUAACCCGUCGAAAGUCGGCCUAAUACCUCAUGGCAUCGUCUGCGGGCAUCCAACGACGAUUAAAGAUUUCAUCGGUCAGAGAUGGGGAUGCGUCUGAUUAGCUUGUUGGCGGGGUAACGGCCCACCAAGGCGACGAUCAGUAGGGGUUCUGAGAGGAAGGUACCCCACAUUGGAACUGCGACACGGUCCACACUCCUACGGGAGGCAGCAGUGAGGAAUAUUGGUCAAUGGGCGAGAGCCUGAACCAGCCAAGUAGCGUGCAGGAUGACGGCCCUAUGGGUUGUAAACUGCUUUUAUGCGGGGAUAAAGUGAGGGACGUGUCCUUCAUUGCAGGUACCGCAUGAAUAAGGACCGGCUAAUUCCGUG